rnacentral:rRNA from 1 species
GACGAACGCUGGCGGCGUGCUUAACACAUGCAAGUCGAACGGAAAGGCCCUGCUUUUGUGGGGUGCUCGAGUGGCGAACGGGUGAGUAACACGUGAGUAACCUGCCCUUGACUUUGGGAUAACUUCAGGAAACUGGGGCUAAUACCGGAUAGGAGCUCCUGCUGCAUGGUGGGGGUUGGAAAGUUUCGGCGGUUGGGGAUGGACUCGCGGCUUAUCAGCUUGUUGGUGGGGUAGUGGCUUACCAAGGCUUUGACGGGUAGCCGGCCUGAGAGGGUGAACGGCAAAAAUGGGAAUGAGAGACGGCCAAGACUACAACGGGAGGCAGCAGUGGGGAAUAUUGCACAAUGGGCGGAAGCCUGAUGCAGAAACGCCGCGGGCGGGAUGACGGCCUUCGGGUUGUAAAACGCAUUCGCCUGUGACGAAGCGUGAGUGACGGUAAUGGGUAAAGAAGCACCGGCUAACUACGUG